GCCUCGUUAGCUCAGUUGGUAGAGCGUUAGACUUUUAAUCUAACGGUCAGGGUUCGAGUCCCCUACGGGGCU
rnacentral:tRNA from 1 species